GUAAAGGGAAAAACUGAGGUUAAAGUGUUUAUGAAUCAAGUUAAUCAGGUGAAAGGUUUAAAAAGCGGAGGAAGGGCUGCUCGCUGCGACGGACAGUUAGAUGAGGAAGUCAAGGAGCCGCGCCUCACGUUGAGUGUCACGUGUUUUCGGGGAAAAGGAAGGCGCGCAUACACACACACACACACACACACACACACACACACACACACACACACACACACACACACACACACACACACACACACACACACACACACACACACACACACACACACACACAA